rnacentral:piRNA from 1 species
UGACAUCUCUGACUUUCUGGGGUCUCCAUU